rnacentral:rRNA from 1 species
GCCUAUGGCCAUGUCCCCCUGAACAAGCCUGAUGUCUGAUCUUGGAAGCUAAGCAGGGUCGGGCCUGGUUAGUACUUGGAUGGGAGACCACCUAGGAAGAUCGGGUGCUGUAGGCA